rnacentral:rRNA from 1 species
UAUUGCACAAUGGGCGCAAGCCUGAUGCAGCGACGCCGCGUGAGGGAAGACGGUCUUCGGAUUGUAAAGCUCUAUCAGCAGGGAAGAAAAUGACGGUACCUGACUAAGAAGCACCGGCUAAAUACGUGCCAGCAGCCGCGGUAAUACGUAUGGUGCAAGCGUUAUCCGGAUUUACUGGGUGUAAAGGGAGCGUAGACGGAGAAGCAAGUCUGGAGUGAAAGCCCGGGGCUCAACCCCGGGACUGCUUUGGAAACUGUUUGUCUAGAGUGCCGGAGAGGUAAGCGGAAUUCCUAGUGUAGCGGUGAAAUGCGUAGAUAUUAGGAGGAACACCAGUGGCGAAGGCGGCUUACUGGACGGUAACUGACGUUGAGGCUCGAAAGCGUGGGGAGCAA